rnacentral:rRNA from 1 species
GGAAGUAAAAGUCGUAACAAGGUCUCCGUUGGUGAACCAGCGGAGGGAUCAUUACCGAGUUUACAACUCCCAAACCCAAUGUGAACGUUACCAAACUGUUGCCUCGGCGGGGUCACGCCCCGGGUGCGUCGCAGCCCCGGAACCAGGCGCCCGCCGGAGGAACCAACCAAACUCUUUCUGUAGUCCCCUCGCGGACGUAUUUCUUACAGCUCUGAGCAAAAAUUCAAAAUGAAUCAAAACUUUCAACAACGGAUCUCUUGGUUCUGGCAUCGAUGAAGAACGCAGCGAAAUGCGAUAAGUAAUGUGAAUUGCAGAAUUCAGUGAAUCAUCGAAUCUUUGAACGCACAUUGCGCCCGCCAGUAUUCUGGCGGGCAUGCCUGUCCGAGCGUCAUUUCAACCCUCGAACCCCUCCGGGGGAUCGGCGUUGGGGAUCGGGACCCCUCACACGGGUGCCGGCCCCGAAAUACAGUGGCGGUCUCGCCGCAGCCUCUCCUGCGCAGUAGUUUGCACAACUCGCACCGGGAGCGCGGCGCGUCCACGUCCGUAAAACACCCAACUUUCUGAAAUGUUGACCUCGGAUCAGGUAGGAAUACCCGCUGAACUUAAGCAUAUCAAUAAGCGGAGGA